CAGUCGCCGCGGAAUACGUAGGUGGCAAGCGUUGUCCGGAAUUAUUGGGCGUAAAGCGCGCGCAGGUGGUUUAAUAAGUCUGAUGUGAAAGCCCGCGGCUCAACCGUGGAGGGUCAUUGGAAACUGUUAAACUUGAGUGCAGGAGAGAAGAGUGGAAUUCCUAGUGUAGCGGUGAAAUGCGUAGAGAUUAGGAGGAACACCAGUGGCGAAGGCGGCUUUUUGGCCUGUAACUGACACUGAGGCGCGAAAGCGUGGGGAGCAAACAGGAUUAGAUACCCCAGUAGUCCCUGUCUCUUAUACA
rnacentral:rRNA from 1 species